GCAGGUGUGGCUUGGGGGUAGAGCACUUGGCUAGCACCCAUGAGGCCCUGGGUUCUAUCCCCAGCACAGCA
rnacentral:tRNA from 1 species